CUGGUUGAUCCUGCCAGUAGUUAUAUGCUUGUCUCAAAGAUUAAGCCAUGCAUGUCUAAGUAUAAGCAAUUUAUACAGUGAAACUGCGAAUGGCUCAUUAAAUCAGUUAUCGUUUAUUUGAUAGUACCUUACUACUUGGAUAACCGUGGUAAUUCUAGAGCUAAUACAUGCUUAAAAUCCCGACUGUUUGGAAGGGAUGUAUUUAUUAGAUAAAAAAUCAAWGUCUUCGGACUCUUUGAUGAUUCAUAAUAACUUUUCGAAUCGCAUGGCCUUGUGCUGGCGAUGGUUCAUUCAAAUUUCUGCCCUAUCAACUUUCGAUGGUAGGAUAGUGGCCUACCAUGGUUUCAACGGGUAACGGGGAAUAAGGGUUCGAUUCCGGAGAGGGAGCCUGAGAAACGGCUACCACAUCCAAGGAAGGCAGCAGGCGCGCAAAUUACCCAAUCCCGACACGGGGAGGUAGUGACAAUAAAUAACGAUACAGGGCCCUUUCGGGUCUUGUAAUUGGAAUGAGUACAAUGUAAAUACCUUAACGAGAACAAUUGGAGGGCAAGUCUGGU
rnacentral:rRNA from 1 species